GGGGUGUGGGGGGGUGUGUGUAUGUGGGGUGGAGGAGGAGGACGGGGGGGAGGGAGAGGGAGGAAGGAGGGGGGUAAGGGUAGGGGGGGGGAAAGCGGCUCUACACUGCUGUGAGCGGCCGGGAGGAUUCACCGCCGCCCUCCGCCGGGAGAAGAGCCGCCUCCUUCCCACAAUGCACCGCGCCCGGCCGCCGCGGCGGGGCCCGGAUGAGCGGUGCGCAUGCGCCCGCGCCCGCACGACGCUCUACCCCCCCCCGCCCCCAGCGCGCGCGCGGGAGGGCGGCGCGCCUGCGCACGGCGAGGGGCCGCCGGCGAUGCCGCGCAUGCGCAGAGGCGCCGGGCAGGGCCCUGUCAACGGCCGGGCCUCCCUGAGGGGAGCAACGUCUAUCUGUGGUACACUGACUGUAUUUACCUUAAAAAUGAACUGAGGACGUAGCGCGAGGAGGAGUCAUUACUCUGCAUCCCAGAUGGAUAAUGAGAGAAACGAUGAGUGUUUUAAGCAAUAAAGUAAUCAAAGAGGGAGUAUGCCUAGUGUGAAGAUGUUGCCAGGUCUGUCAUAGGUAAAAAUGAAGCAAAGCUUAGGAAAAAAAAAAAAAAACAAGAAACAGAAAAACUGGAUAGUUGGAAGAGGAAGAAAAAGACUCAUUCACCAAUUGUGGCCUGCUGGUAGUGUGAGGAAGUAGAUACAGCAGCUGUGAAAUGUAUAAAUGCUGAUAGCAAGUGAUAAUUGUUUCAGGUGUAACAGUGCUAUGGGGUAAGAAUUCAGCUGUGAUACAUCUUUUUAUAUAGCUUUAAAAUAACAUAAAAAGUGUCCUGACAUGGGGAUUUGCUGGGCUUUAGGAAGCAUAAUCCAAAUGUACGAAAUUGCCAAAGUACGUGUCUUUUCAAAAAAGUGCAUAAAGGAAAAACAACAAAAAAAAGUACUCAUUUCAUUCCUUUUGUCUGGCUUCAACAUUUGUAAACUUUUUUGUUUAGUAUGAGGAGGAUAAAAGCUGUCUUUUACAUGAGGGAGCUUUAUCAUCAAGUGCCCUUCAAACUAGGAAUCUCAAAGUAUGUUUUGUUGGACUGAUUUCCAUAACAUCAAUUUAUUUGGUGUUAAUUCUUUGCCAGAACUCUAACUCGGGCAUGUAGGCAAGUUCAUUCCUUUUAAGUAGUCUGUAGUAGUCAUUUAAGCCAAAUCUAAAGAUAAGUUUAGCUGCACCUGACUGCUUUCACUUUACUGGGCAAUCGCCAACGUUUGUAUACAGCAAACGGUACGAGCGAGUUGAUCAGAUAAGCAAUCUUUUUUUAAAUACACUCAUUUACCUUUAGGUUAGAUUUAAUUCAGGUAACUGCCAUCUGAUUUGCUCUGCAGAUUGCACAAAUGUUAACGCUGACUCAAGGGAACGCACAGGAGAGAGCAGGAUCAUCUUCAUUUGCAGUAAUAGUUUAGAAGCAUGACUGUAUAAUGUUAAUGUGAAGCUCCCUAAAUUUCAAACGCUUAAAACCCAUUUCGGUAUGAAAAAGUACUGCUUCACCCUUAAAUAAUUGCUAUUAUCUUUUGCCCAAGAUUGAAGGGUCUUUUCCCCUCCAGAUUGAUUCACCAAACAAAAGUGCGUGCGUGCUAAAACUCCUUAGGGUUCUGAACAAGCAGAACCAGAACAGUAUUAAAUAAACAUAUUUCUAAAUGGCUGCUUCUGACCGUAGCUUCUGUUGAUAUUGCAUCAUUUGAAUCACUAUACAAGCAUGUUAUGGCUGUUAUCUUCUAAAUGUGUAUACAUUUGCAUAUGAGUUUUCCUAAUGAAAUGGAUGCAAUGACUUGUGCAUGUUAACUUACUGAAGUCUGCCAGAUGAUGUUUUUAUGGGGAGACUAAUUUUUAAGUGAUCCCUAUACAAUGGGAAUAAAAUGAAGUUAAUUCUUUUCAAAACCCAACAGUAUUACUAGUAAGUCCAUUAUUUUAGUUUACAUUACUACUUAGUUGGAAGUUCCAAAAAUUAGCUUCUGUUGUAGAGUACAGACAUCACCGAAACCCUUUUUUUUCCCUGCAGAGUAGCUUUUGGGGUGUACUUACAUAACUUGUAUGAUAGCGAUUUUGUCUUAAAUAAUCCUCCAGGUUAUUCAAGUGUUCACAGUAUUUUUCCAUGUGUGUCUGUCUAUUGUCUGUUCACGUUGAAUGGGGUUUACAGACUGUAUUAGUAGUGUUGUACAUAUAAUCUGUAUUGUCUGGAUAAAUUAUUCUUAAAGGAA